rnacentral:lncRNA from 11 species
UACGCAGUAAUGUUAUGUUGUAAUUACUGUAUUUACAAAUUUAGCACCAAAAUAUCACAAUAUAUUGAAAACAUUGACUACAAAAAGUGAGACUCUACUGUAUAUUAUUCAUUAUUCAUGACUACAUUGAAACUACAAUAGAAGAGAAAUCAGCAUGGAAACUGCAAGAGGUACCAUAGAUUGUUGUACAUGGAAAUAAUUGUAGUAAAUAGUUUUUGAUUUAUUAAAUACAGUUAUAUAUUACAAUUAUAUAUUUUUGUUAUUUAAACUAUAUAUAUUGUGAAAUUAUGGGGUUUUUCUCGAAGUGACACACCACCCAAGUCAUGCUAGGUUUUUUUUUGGUGAAUUUUGACACACCAAGUGCAAAAGGUUGCCCAUCAUUGUGCUAGACAGUCAGAAGACAUUGUGCAGCUAAUCUCUAUACUUCUCCUU